rnacentral:rRNA from 1 species
AGGACGAACGCUGGCGGCGUGCUUAACACAUGCAAGUCGAGCGGAAAGGCCCUUCGGGGUACUCGAGCGGCGAACGGGUGAGUAACACGUGAGCAACCUGCCCUUAGCUUCGGGAUAGCUCCGGGAAACCGGAAUUAAUACCGAAUAUGAUUUUGCUGACAUCAGCAGAAGUGGAAAGUUUUUCGGCUAGGGAUGGACUCGCGGCCUAUCAGCUAGUUGGUGAGGUAACGGCCCACCAAGGCGACGACGGGUA